rnacentral:rRNA from 1 species
UACGUAGGUGGCAAGCGUUGUCCGGAUUUACUGGGCGUAAAGAGCGCGCAGGCGGCUGGUCAAGUCCGAUGUGAAAUCUCCCGGCUCAACUGGGAAACUGCAUCGGAAACUGAUCGGCUUGAAGGUGGGAGAGGGUAGUGGAAUUCCCGGUGUAGUGGUGAAAUUCGUAGAUAUUGGGAAGAACACCAGUGGCGAAGGCGGCUAACUGGUCCGGUACUGACGCUGAGGUGCGAAAGCGUGGGGAGCAAACAGG